GGCCAUUUUCUCCUCAGUCGCAUGAAAGCCGUUGAGGAGAAUGUUAUGAGACCGGAUGAGCUGUAUUUCAUGUCUGUUUGGUGUCAUUUCAUAUAUUCCAGUAAAUGCGAUGAGUGAGCUCAGCCUACGUCUCCGUGUUGUCCUUUCCGGAAGGGUCGAAAGAAAGAACCA